AAUACAAUCAGUUUUAAUAACAAAGAAAAAUUUAACAAUACAAUCAGUUUUAAUAACAAAAGGGAAAUUUACAAACACUUGGAAGAAGAAACAUAAUACAGCCAAACAUCCUCCUAAUACAACCUUAUUAUUACCAUGAACCAGGAUACGCCCGCCCCUUCUCUACAAAAUGCAAUAACAAUAUAUAGUAGCAGUAAUGUAAAUGAAUCGAGGUAACAAAUACACAGUGCAUGCCUCCACCAUGCCGGAAAUUCACACGUUUUCAGUUUCACUCACCACCACCGCCUCUGCAACAACUCCAAUAAGAGAUUUUUCACAUCCUCCUACCACAGAUGAUUAGAUUAAGCAGCUGCGAUCGGCUCAGUUGCUGCUGGUGGGGGAGUGUGCUUCAGCUUCAGCAAUAUCUGCCGCAUCCGUGCCAUGUCCGUUGGCUUCCCAGGCUGGGUGGUGGAUCUGGGAGGGAGGUGGUGGGUGUCAGGUC
rnacentral:lncRNA from 7 species